CGUGAAAGAGCCGCCUGGAGCUUGACUUGCUGAGCCUCGAAAAUAUUUUGGCAUUUGAUUGGGAGUUUCGUAACUGGAUAUAUUGCCUGUUGGAGUUUGUUGCUCAAUCAAUGAAAGCCAUCAAGUGCCUCUCAACAUGACAUGAAAUUCGUCAACCAAGGACGAUCGGAAUUAUAGUUCUUGAUCGACUGUCGAGAGAGAAUGGUAAGAAAAAAGAUCAUCUCUAUGGAAGAAGCACAGAAAAUGGAGUAGCGACGACUAACAAUCACCCUUUGACGAUGGAAAAACUAAAAUGAAUACUAAAAUAGGUUUACGAGGAAGUAAGCACCAAAGAGAGAUCGAUCGGAGCUUAUUCUGAGAAGGCCCUCCGCUAUGCGGGUUGGCCUAGAUGAGUUUCAUAUCUACCAACCCUCAGAGCUCCAGCCUACGAUCAUUCUUUGUGUCUCUCUGGUUAGCUGUAGACUGAGUCGUCCACCAGGAAAUCCAGGAAAUCCAGGAAAUCGAGUUCCCCUUCCUCGACGCAUUGUAUAGCCAGUUUCGGACACAGUGGUUCAGUGCAACCGUUCAUCCUCCAAGCAAGCCACAAAAUCGUCACAGAUACACAAGAACCUUCCGGGGCGUCCUCCGGUACCGCAGAAGUUGGCAUAUAUUCCAAUUUCCAACUGACCUCCGUGGGUAGAAUCCGGUUUUCCUGAAAGAACUUGGCUUCGGUUCUAAUGAGGACGGUUUGUGACACAAUUCGGAUGCGCUUGUUUCCCUACACCUCUCAUAGCCGACCUGAUAUCUGAUGGACGCUGGAAAAUUCAGACAAUCAAGAAGAUUUUAAGGAGAUGGGCGCCAGGUUCAGGAGAUAUUCUAUCUGUUCCACAUUUUCUCGGUCUCCAGCAGGGUAUGGUGUACAAUUACCGAUUCAAGAACUGCCAUGAACGGAUAGAAGAGAUUGAAUCUCGAUAUCCAAUAUCAAAAAAAAUAUCCUGCAGAACCACCGCUAUCGAUUCGAUAGCAGCUGGAAUGGGUAAAACCAUAUGUUUUGGCCAUUGAAUCCAGAUCUACUUCAGAUGUUUUGGCACAGUUCCGGAAAACGCUGGCGAGAUCUGUGCCACCCGAUGGCUGUAUGCAGGAUAUCCAGCGCAAUCUGGAUGUCCUUCCCUGUCUCAUUGAAUAAAAUGAGACUAAAAACAUUACGAAAAUGAGGCAGUUCCCUACAGAACUUUCCAGGUCGUUGGUCGUUGCUUGAUCCAGAUUUAAUAUCAUCUACCGCUCCAAGAGCUGGGUAAUAAAGCACAAAUAUAGAUGUUAUUCGCUUGCAAGAGAUUAGAUUGAGCGGAGAUGAAAAAAUUAUAUUGAUAGUCGGAUAAGUGGACAGUUGUCAGUUGUCAGUUAGCGGUUGUCGACUCCCAUAUUGACCUUCUCGAACGCCUCUGUUCCUGAUAUGUCGUUCGCUCAUUUAUCAGGACACAGCGAAAGAAAGUUCAGAAAAAAAUAAUAAAAAUAAUUAAAAAAUCGCAUACAAGUUCCGGUUGUUCCUUUCAGACCCUCCUAAACACGAUCGGCUGCACACCUCCGUCCGGAAACAAAUUCUUUUUCUUUCUCCUCCGAUUUUCGUGUUUCACGUCCUUAGACGCCAGCUCGCCGUCUGCCUCAAACCAUACACCCUCGUCCAAUGAUGUUUCGUAUUCUCUGUAUAUACUGGCCGUCACCUGACGCAUGAUAGCCCACGCGACGCUAUUCAAAUCCCAGCAAUCAAGAGUCAGAAAUAAAUGAUGAUAAUUAGAUAGUAUAAACAGCAUUUACACUACAGACCAAGUAGAAGACACACAUCAGUGAGAUGGUGAUAUCUUCUCUAUACAGGAAUUCAAAUAAGCUUAUUUACGUACUUCAUUCCCGUACACAUCCUUUGUCCAUAUCCAAACGGCAUCAGCAUGCGUUGCAUCUGACGGUGGGCCGGGGAUGUAAUUGGCACUUGCCAGCGUUCUGGAUCCCAUACGUCUGGGUUAGGAAACGUAUCCGGGUCGCGGUGGAGAGUGUGGGGUUGGAUGGAGAUGAUGGUCUAGAUAACGCAAUAUUUUGUCAGCAUUCUCUAUCCAGGAAAGAGAGGGAAGUCUAGAUUAUCGGGAUCGUUGGCACUAUCCGAAAGCUCACCCCUGGGUUUAUCUUCAAACCCAUGACAGUAACGUCCUGAUCUUUCGUUUUAACCACUCUCGGGAGACUAAAGGGGAUUGGAGGGCUGAUUCGUAAUGUCUCCCGCAGGACGCCGUUUAGGUACGGGAGGGCUUGUAGCUGUGAUAAAGUUCCUGGCGAAGUUUGUCCUGGUGGUGUUUGUUUUCCGGGAGGGAAAGGUGGUAGAGUAGCGCGGAGAGGAAGUCCGCAGUUGUGGUGGUACCGCCUGAGAAGUGGUCCAAAGUGUCGCUGGCGAUGUAAUUGAUGUUUGGAAUGGCAGGGCUGGGACCAUCCAUUUUGAAAAGACAAAGAAGAUGUUGGAGGUGGGUAUUUGCCUUCCUACCGUCAUCAUCUUUAGAUUGGAGAGGCAGUGACUUGAGAGAUUCUUGCACCAAUGACAUGCCAAAUGUAGUCAAUUUUGACCCUGGGUUGAUCAACGGUGAUAAGAGUUUCAUGAUGGGAA
rnacentral:sRNA from 2 species